rnacentral:lncRNA from 1 species
GAGAGAGAGAGAGAGAGAGAGAGAGAGAGAGAGAGAGAGAGAGAGAGAGUUACUGUAGUGUGCCUGUUUAGACUCAGGGCUCUGCAGUCUUUAUUGAAUGUUCAAGACUCCACAUCAGUGGUCCUAUCUACUGUCCACAUCCCACCAACGGCCAUCACAGUGCUGUGAUCACACACACACACACACACACACACACACACACACACACACACACACACACACACACACACACACACACACAGCCCCGUGGAGCCCUGGGAAGCAUCCCAAGUGUCACUGUGGUGGGUGACAUAACCAGAUGGUGAUGUAAUAACAUGGGGGACCACAGUAUCAACAGUAACCCCCCAACACCUUGGUGCUGCUGAAGCAGUGUGUGUUUGUGUUUUACAGUGUGUUGGUAUGCCUUGUGCUGUAUACUAAACUCCGUCAGUGAAGCCCUUUUAUAAGGAUCACACAGCAGGGCCAACAGUAUCCCUCUCUCUCAACCCUGACGGGCUGAAAACUUUUCAUCUACGCUGCUAUGUUUAGCGUGUCCAUGAUGCUAUUUUUAGCGUGUCCUUUGUCAAUGUGGAACACAUUAGAGGAAUGCAUAAGAUGUUGAGAUUCAGGCUCUCUUUGUAUAGAAACGUAAAGUGCUUCAGAGGGCUAGCAUAACAGAACAGGGUAGAACAGGACAGAACAGGACAGGACAGAACAGGUCAGGACAGGACAGGACAGGAAAGAACAGAACAGAACAGGACAGAACAGGACAGAACAGAACAGGUCAGGACUAAACAGGUCAGGACAGGACAGGAAAGAACAGGACAGAACAGAACAGGUCAGGACAGAACAGAAAAGGACAAAACAGCCAGAACAAGUCCGGACAGAACAGAACAGAACAGAACAGGGCAGAACAGGACAGAACAGAACAGAACAGGGCAGAACAGGACAGAACAGAACAGGACAGGUCAGGACAGGACAGAACAGAACAGGACAGGUCAGGACAGGACAGAACAGAAAAGGACAGAACAGCCAGAACAAGACAGGACAGAACAGAAAUGGAUCAAACAGGGCAGAACAGAACAGAACAGGACAAAACAAAACAAAACAGAACUGAACAGGCCAGAACAGGCCAGAACAGAACAGGCCAGAACAGAACAGAACAGAACAGGACAGGACAGAACAGGUCAGGCCAGGACAGAAUAGAACAAGACAGGUCAGGACAGAACAGGACAGGACAAAACAGGUCAGGACAGGUUAGAACAGGACAGUACAGAACAGAACAGGACAGGACAAAACAGGUCAGGACAGGUCAGGACAGGUCAGAACAGGACAGUACAGAACAGGACAGGACAAAACAGGUCAGGACAGGUCAGGACAGGUCAGAACAGGUCAGGACAGAAUAGAACAAGACAGGUCAGGACAGAACAGGACAGGACAAAACAGGUCAGGACAGGUUAGAACAGGACAGUACAGAACAGGACAGGACAGGACAAAACAGGUCAGGACAGGACAGGACAGAACAGAACAGGAAAGAACAGGACAGGACAGGACAGGUCAGGACAGAACAGAACAGGACAGAACAGGUAGGAACAGGACAGGUCAGGUCAGGACAGAACAGGGCAGAACAGGAAAGAAAAGGUCAGAACAGGAUAGAACAGGUCAGGACAGGAUAGAACAGGUCAGGACAGGAUAGAACAGGACAGAACAGGACAAGAUAGAACAGGACAGAACAGGAAGGAACAGGUCAGGACAGGACAGAACAGGACAGAACAGGUCAAGAUAGAACAGGACAAGAUAGAACAGGACAGAACAGGACAAGAUAGAACAGGACAGAACAGGAUAGGCUUUACUCAGGGAGACUUCUACAGACUGAGAUGUUUCCGGAAUUGUUUGUCAGUUAAGUGGUUUUAAAUAGUUGGAGGAAAGGAAGCCACGGAAUAAUUUGGUCUUCAACAAAUAGCCCAACGAUAUAGGAAGAGAACUGAACUGAACAGAACAGGACAGAACAGAACAGGACAGAACAGAACAGGUCAGGACAGAACAGCAAAGGAAAGAACAGGAAAGGUCAGAACAGAACAGAACAGGACAGAACAGGACAGGACAGAACAUGACAGGUCAGGACAGGACAGAACAGGUCAGGACAGGACAGAACAGGACAGAACAGGACAGAACAGAACAGGACAGGACAGGACAGAACAGGUCAGGACAGGACAGAACAGGUGAGGCCAGAACAGAACAGAACAGGACAGAACAGGACAGAACAGGUCAGAACACGACAGGCCAGAACAGGUCAGGCCAGACUGGACAGAACAGGACAGGACAGGUCAGGUCAGGAUAGAACAGAACAGGACAGAACAGAACAGAACAGGACAGAACAGGAAAGUACAGGACAGAACAGAACAGAACAGGACAGGAUAGAGCAGAACAGAACAUAAUUGGACAGGACAUGACAAAACAGAACAGAACAGGACAGAGCAGAACAGAACAGGAAAGAAAGGGCAGAACACAACAGGACAGAACAGGACAGGACAGGUCAGGUCAGGACAGGACAAACAGGACAGGACAGAACAGAACAGGACAGAACAGAUCAGGUCAGGACAGAACAGAACAGGACAGAACAGGUCAGGUCAGGACAGAAGAGAACAGGACAGGACAGGACAGAACAGAACAGGACAGAACAGGAAAGAACAGGUCAGAACACAACAGGACAGAACAGGAUAGGUCAGGACAGAACAGAACAGAACAGGACAGGGACAAAACAGAACAGAACAGGAUAGAGCAGAACAGAACAUAAUUGGACAGGACAAAACAGAACAGGACAGAGCAGAACAGAACAGAUUUGGACAGAACAGGGCAGAACAGGACAGAAAAGAACAGAACAGGACCGGCUCGAACAGGACAGAACAGAAGUGUACUGAACGGUCUAAUUAAUAUUCACUUUGACCUGCAGUGACAAGGGUUUUGACCUCUGACCUCCACUAAUAUCUAAUAUGCCCUCCACAUGUCACUUUCAUCCAUUGGAAGCAAUGACUUACAGUGAAUGUAUCCAUUUUUAGUUUGUGUAUGUGAACCCUGUGGGAAUUGAACCCAUGACCUUGGAGUUGCUUGUCCCACACUUUAAUCAGCAGAGCAACUGAGCAUCACAUGAUCCAGUCCCCCAUGCCCCAUCUGAGGGAACCAAACUCUCACUAUCUGUGUGCAGUUAAAGAUGUGUAAUACUUUAGUCCUUUAUGUCCACAGAAAUCAUACGCUGUGUGUAUGUGAAGUGUGUAAUAGAGACUAGAAUGUAUGUGUGUGCGUGUGUGCGUGUGUGUGUGUGUGUGUGUGUGUGUGUGUGUGUGUGUGUGUGUGUGUGUGUGUGCGUGCGUG